UUUCACAGGAGCGCUGCAUGCGGAACCUCGAGGUCCUCCUCACGCACCAGCCAUUUCCUCCACUCGCUACGGAGUCUGUGGUGCAUGCGCUCGCCUCUUCUCUUGCGCAUUGCCAGUAUACAGGUUCAUGCGUGAUGCCGCCCGGUGGACCCCUCCCCAUCUCGCAUGCAUCGUCUCCGCCGCGAAGCCGCGCGUAACUGAAUUAGCGUCUUUGCGGGGUCCGCUCGGCUGUGAAACUGAACCCCGCUUUAGCCGCCUGGGCGCUCACCUGGUCCGUUCGGUAGAUGAGGUCUACCGUGAUUCUCGGACGUCAGCUCACCCUGCGGCUAUAAAGCCAUGCCAUCUCCCCAGCGAUCACCCCCAUGGCGAGCACUCUACAGAGCCUGGGCUUCUUCAUCGUACGCCGGCGUCCCUGCUAGUGCCUGCCGUUGAACUAUCCGGCCACCAUUGAUCCGACCUCCCCUAAGCCAUCGAUGAGUAGAGAAAAACAGUGAACGCCACCUCUGUACUCGCCCCACCUUAUGGCGCGUCGCUCCUGCAGUACCGGCCCACGCUCUGCGCGGCGCUCAGGUGUUACGGCUGCCCUCAAAUCCGUCGUCGGACCAUUGGCACUGGGGCAAGCAAAAGCACGGACAGGUGCUCGACGUGCUGCAACGGCUUCCGAUUUGCCCGGCUAGAUGGAAGACGGCUGGGGAGCAUCUUCUCUGGGGAACACCGCGCGUCAUGGGUGCCUUGCCGAAGUUCAGGGACGGCGUGAUUGCUCAUCGUCGUUCAUGCUCCACCGUGGCGCCACCCAUCUCUGUGGGCAGUGGGCUGCAUCGUCCAAUCGACCGGUCAAGAACAGGUACCACAGGAUGUGGCGCAUGGAGGAUGCUGUGACGAGUUCGUGAGAGGUCUAGGUCGUUGUCUCCCAGUCAACUUUGGGUUGCUGGACCGUUGUCUCCUUAUAAUGUAAUUAUUUGUUUAUUUUGUACAGAACUCCUGUUAUGUAGUAAAGAUGUGACAUUCGAUCCUGUGCCAUGAUUCAUCAUAUGUGUGAGACUUGGUCCCAGCACACCUGGUGAUUAUGUUCGCGCCCGGGUCUUGGUGCCCCGAAACCCGGGUGUGACAGAAGUGGUAUCAGAGGAAUGUUGACUGUAGGACAAAACCUAGAUAGAACUCGACAACCAUUCUCUACUUACCUUUGCCACUCUGAUUCUUUCUAAACUUUCCUUAAAUCUUUUCUCAUCUAUUUCCGCUUUACUCUGAUUAUUCUUACCUGUUCCUUCUAAAGACCAAUGUGGAUUUCACACAUUGAAAUCCUGUGCCUAAAGUGACCUUUAGGAAUAGGAGACCUACUCAUAGGAAUAAAAACAAAACUAUUUUAUCUAUGCACUUGAAUGUUUGUUUUUAUGAUAUUUGUCUGAUUUGGAUUUUUGAUUGAAUGUGAUGAGUUGUGGAGUAAUGUCCACAAUUCCAUCUGCAUAUACAUAAAGGCAUAAGAAAUCAUAAUAUAACCAGAUCAACUAAGAAUAUCCUCCAUUAAAAUAUAUCUAGCUUCAUAAGAUCCUUCUUAUCUUAAAAGAUAUUCUCUUAACUUAAUAGAUUUAUCUCAUCUUAAAAGAAUCUAUCUUAUCUUAUCUUAUCCUAACCACUUUGCUUAUCUCACCUCGGAGUAACAAUCAUGAUCCAAUCCAAAUUAAUUAGAUCUUAUCUAGUUCAAGCUAGUCACACCAAUCUAACCUAGAUCCGAUCUAAUCUAAAGUGACUUAUCAAACAUGUUAGAUAAUACUGAUGAAAUAGAUUAGACUCUACUCUAAUAGAACAUGUCUUAACUUAGUUCACCCUGCACUAAAUUAAGAAUGACAGAUCGACUUGGCCAUAUGCAACUACCUUAACCAUCCAAUAGUUGCAUAACCCCACAAUUUUAACCUAGCAAGAGAUUCUAACCUACCUACACCAUACAAUCCAUCCUACUCACAUAUGUCCUAGCCAUAUGUCCUUAACUCGGAAGACAACUCCCAGAAAUAAAGGCCAAAGAAGACAAACCAUGUCAAAGAAGGAUAAGCAUCAACUCAAGACUUCAAAGAUCAAGUUGAAUCGCCAGCGGAAUCAAGAUCCAUAGUUUAGGAUGAAGUCUUUCCUUAUUAUCCCCUUGCCACAACCUCUACUUGCCAUAACCGUACCUGACCUAAUGAAUAUCUAAACAUACAAUAUUCAUAUCAUCUACUAACUGUUAAAAAAAACUUGAACAAAACUUUGAUUCCCAAAACCAAAUGAGAAACUAAAAUUCUAGACCAAACCUAUUAUAUUCCUUUUCUUACAAAUCUCGAGGACGAGAUUAUUUUUAAGGGGGGUAGGAUUUGUAAUACCCAAAAUUAUAAAUCAAAUAAAAGGAGGUAGUCAUUCCUAAAUAAUAUUCCUCCCUUAUGAUAUCAUAUGUGAACGACCUUAUUUAAGUGAGUACUUAAAGUAAUGCCAUCUAAAAAAAUAUAAUUUGUGCAUCAUGCCGAGGUUUAUUUGUUUGUGCAUUCACUCAUGAAGACAGUGAUAAUAGAAAAAAAACAAAAGUGAAAAUGUGCAUUAAACCAAAUUUGGAGUUUGGAUUUUGAGUGUGUUUUCUGAUUAAUUUGAAGUUUAAAUUUGAAUCUAGAAUAAAAAUUGAAUUUGAAAAUGUUCCGAAUAAAUAAGAAAUGGGUACAGAAUUGCAUGUAAUGUAUUCCCUUGUUUAUUUACCAUAUAAAACUUCCAUGAUCAAGUGAUUAACUCAAUUAAAAAUAUGAGAAACCAAAUAAAUUUAUGCACAUCAUACUGAUAUUUGGUUGGUGUGGCAUUUUGUUUGGAAUUCAAGGAUCAAAACCUUAACUGAAUUUUAAAAUAAUGGAAAUACAAACUGAAAAGAAAAUACAAGAAAGAGAACUCCCAGCCGGCCUCACCUUUUUCGUUUUUUUUCUUUUCAUUUCUUUUUUCCCUCUGGCCGGCCAUGCGCAUGCGCUACACUGUUGGAGAAUCUUUCACAGGAGCGCUGCAUGCGGAACCUCGAGGUCCUCCUCACGCACCAGCCAUUUCCUCCACUCGCUACGGAGUCUGUGGUGCAUGCGCUCGCCUCUUCUCUUGCGCAUUGCCCAGUAUACAGGUUCAUGCGUGAUGCCGCCCGGUGGACCCCUCCCCAUCUCGCAUGCAUCGUCUCCGCCGCGAAGCCGCGCGUAACUGAAUUAGCGUCUUUGCGGGGUCCGCUCGGCUGUGAAACUGAACCCCGCUUUAGCCGCCUGGGCGCUCACCUGGUCCGUUCGGUAGAUGAGGUCUACCGUGAUUCUCGGACGUCAGCUCACCCUGCGGCUAUAAAGCCAUGCCAUCUCCCCAGCGAUCACCCCCAUGGCGAGCACUCUACAGAGCCUGGGCUUCUUCGUCGUACGCCGGCGUCCCUGCUAGUGCCUGCCGUUGAACUAUCCGGCCACCAUUGAUCCGACCUCCCCUAAGCCAUCGAUGAGUAGAGAAAAACAGUGAACGCCACCUCUGUACUCGCCCCACCUUAUGGCGCGUCGCUCCUGCAGUACCGGCCCACGCUCUGCGCGGCGCUCAGGUGUUACGGCUGCCCUCAAAUCCGUCGUCGGACCAUUGGCACUGGGGCAAGCAAAAGCACGGACAGGUGCUCGGCGUGCUGCAACGGCUUCCGAUUUGCCCGGCUAGAUGGAAGACGGCUGGGGAGCAUCUUCUCUGGGGAACACCGCGUGUCAUGGGUGCCUUGCCGAAGUUCAGGGACGGCGUGAUUGCUCAUCGUCGUUCAUGCUCCACCGUGGCGCCACCCAUCUCCGUGGGCAGUGGGCUGCAUCGUCCAAUCGACCGCAGUGAGAUCACGAGAAUCUGAAGAUCAUCCUGGUACCUGGAAUCUCAAGUCCCAGGCAAGUU